rnacentral:rRNA from 1 species
AUUGAACGCUGGCGGCAGGCCUAACACAUGCAAGUCGAGCGAGCGGCGGACGGUUGCGUAAUGUCUGGGAACCUGCCUGUUGGAGGGGGAUAACUACUGGAAACGGUAGCUAAUACCGCAUACCAUCAGAUGUGCCCAGGUGGGAUUAGCUAGUAGGUGGGGUAAUGGCUCACCUAGGCGACGAUCCCUAGCUGGUCUGAGAGGAUGACCAGCCACACUGGAACUGAGACACGGCCCAGACUCCUACGGGAGGCAGCAGUGGGGAAUAUUGCGCAAUGGGCGAAAGCCUGAUGAAGCCAUGCCGCGUGUGUGAAGAAGGCCUUCGGGUUGUAAAGCACUGUCAGCGGGGAGGCGGUACCCGCAGAAGAAGCACCGGCUAACUACGUGCCAGCAGCCGCGGUAAUAC